rnacentral:ribozyme from 1 species
CCCUACCGAUAGCAUGUACCUUGACGUGGUGGUAGGGCAACUAAUUGAUCGCUUCCCACAGAACCAUAUCCGUUGCUUGACAUAUUAUUAAAAAGUAAUAAUUCGCCUUUUGAUGGGAAACGAUCGAUUAGACUAAACAUGC